rnacentral:lncRNA from 1 species
AGUGGAUACCACCGCUGGCGAAAACCUCUUGGACUUCAUUUGUGAACAUUUUAAAGAAAUUCAACAAAACUUACAUGCCAAUAUUUUCCGGGUUCAACAUCAAUCAAUUCAACGCGACGAUUGCAAGUCCCAAUCAAUAUUCUUACAUCUUCUGGACGAGAAGCCAAACAGCAAUGUGAUCUGAGAACUAUAGCAUCUGAAUUUGAACACCCAUAUUCGGAAGAAUUAUCUUUCGCCUCGCGAGCUAAGUUAUUCCACGUAACUGAACUUUGCGGUUCGUAAGGAGGACUGUCAUUUGGUAAAAUAGAUGCUACAACGUUUCCAUUAUUCA